AAAACAUGUCCUUUUGAUUAUGAUUUAAGGUCUGACCUGCUCAAUGAGGUUUUAAAUAGCCGCGAUAACUUGAUCGUGCGAAGGUAGCAUAAUCAUUAGUUUUUUAAUUGAAAACUGGAAUGAAGGGUUGGACGAGAUUGGGGCUGUCUCAAAUUUAUUAAUUUGGAACUUUAUUUUUAGGUUAAAAAGCCUAAAUACUUCUUAAAGACGAGAAGACCCUAUAGAGUUUUAUAUUUUUAUUUAAUGGGUGUUUUUGGUAUUAAAUUUACUUGUUAGUUUUAAAAUAUUUAGUUGGGGUGAUUAAAUAAAUGGUUAAACUUCUUUUUUUUAUUACACUGAUUUGUGAUUUGAUGAUCCACUAUUUGUGAUUAAAAGAUUAAAUUACCUUAGGGAUAACAGCGUAAUUUCUUUUGAGAGUUCUUAUCGAAAAUGGAGUUUGCGACCUCGAUGUUGGAUUAAAGUUAAUUUUUGGCGUAGAAGUUAAAAUAUUUGGUCUGUUCGACCAUUAAAACUUUACAUGA
rnacentral:rRNA from 1 species